GGAAGUAAUAACAAGGUUUCCGUAGGUGAACCUGCGGAAGGAUCAUUGCCACACACGAUCCAAGAUCGACACUUUAUUGUGAACUGUUAAUGUUAUUAUUGAUUUUAUUCCUUCUUUAGCUUGUUAUUCGUAACAAGAGAGGGGAGGGAGAAGUCAGUAACCCAUAUUAUUACACAUAUUUAAAAACCAAAAUGAAUUAUCAUUGGAACAUAAAUGUUAUGUCAAGUUCGUCUUGAUUUAACGCUAGAUUGAAAAUUGUAAAACAACUUUUAACAACGGAUAUCUAGGUUCUU
rnacentral:misc_RNA from 1 species